rnacentral:lncRNA from 1 species
UUACUAUGUGCUUGAAUGGGAAACAUGAUUUGUGUGGUAGUUAAUGAUGGGGUUUAGAGUCAAGUCCACAGUCAUGCAUUCUCUAUUCUCUCCACCAGCCUGACUGCAUGCUCCUCAUAAAUAACAUUUUCAGUGGAUGAGGGGACCGUAAAUCUGUCCAGAGGCGGGACACCCUGUUCUACUCUCUUCCUGGACACUACCUUUUAAUUCACUAGAGGAUAAUGAGAAGUUGGAAAUCUGAUUCAGCAAAUAGCUACCGAGGGUCUACUUGUUUCCAGUCACUGGGGAUUUAAUGGCAAAAUAACCCUCAAGAAGCUUAUUGUCUAGUGGAAAAGACCAACAGUUCUGGAGGCUGGGAAGUCCAAGAUCAAGCUGCCAACAGAUUUGGUGUCUGGUGAGGCUGCACACUCCAGAGGGGCAGAACGCUGUGACCUCACAUGGCAGAACUGAAGAGCAACCUAAGGACAAGGUGUGUAUGAUAAAGCAGUGGGAACCAGGCAAAGAAGAUCAUUAAAGCCCUUACCAGCCAAGCUCCCAUUCUCACUCAGUCCCCUGCAAACCAUCGGCAUAAAGAGCAAAGUUUCAGAGAUCACAUCCUCUAGUGGAGAGCAAAUGAACAAAAGGGGAAAGAGAGACGCGAUGAAUUGCACGUGCGCUAUUAUAUUUGCAAGCGGGUUACAUUGUCCUUGGAUAAGAAUUUUAUAUUCCCCGUGAGUCGGAGACUCUGUGCUCUGAAUUAUGUUGCUCAAUUCAAGCGAUGAUCCAAGGCCAAUGACAGUAUACCAAGCUAUCAUUUCUUGGCAGGUCGAAUAGUCAUGUGUAUAUUUUAUGUUCCUUAUAAAAGUUAGGCGAUAUAAAUAUUGGUGAUAUGAAAGUUGAUAUUUUACAUAAAUUGUCAAUUGCUAGUCAAACACGUCAAGGUUUUUUCUUUAUGUGGUGGGGCUUUAAAAUCUCAGCAGGGAGUUCUUUGAGUUUGAAGUGUCUCCCCUAAGCUUUCCAUUUCAGACACUGUUUUUUUCCAAAACAGGUCUCAGUGUGUUGGUGUUUCCAAAGUGCAGAUGAUUCCUGUUCUUAUUUUGUGGCUGUUCUUGCAGAAUGCUAUCAGCCCCAGAUCUAGGGUAGAGGACAGGCUUGAUUGGAGCCUUUGCCUGUUACAAUGCAUGAUUCCACCACAGGCCAGCUGUGACCAUUCCGCCCAGUGACAGCGUGGUUGUCUUUCCUCAUAGGUGAAGGAGGUGACUUCUUAUGGGACAUGAUUUCUGAAGCAGAAGUUUACCUGAGGUUCCUGGAAGAAAUGUUUUCCCCACCUGUUGGCUCCCUGAGUAUUAACAUGCCAGAUGCAAAGCUUCAUUCAUUCUAUUAAAAUGCAAAUGAGCCCAACAGUGUAGUAAAACAGUUUGCUGCUAGAAGUUAUUUACAAUAUUCUAAGAGUAACGCUCUUAUUCACCCUAAGCACAGGUUUUAAUAAAAAGUGGAAGGGAUCGCAAGGGUAUUGAGAUCUCAGCAAGAGAAGGAAAGGGAAAAGGUUGUUUAAAAACAACAUUAAUAGAAGACAUACCGUAUAGAGAGAAAAACGCAGACUGUGCAUGUUCAAGAUAACUUUCAUUACAAUUUUGCCUAAGCCAGGGUGAAUGCAAAUGUUUCAGUUUUAACAGACUGGAUCAUUCAUUCAAAAAGCAUUUAUUGAGUGCCUUCUCAAAAAAGAAUGAUAAUUAGAUUUUUUAAGUUAUAAAGAAAAUAUAAAACCAAAACUGGAGAAAUAUACGCCAACAUUUUUCCAAUGGUUCCGUUGUCAAAGUAGAAUUAGAAUGUAAGUGCAGAGUUAAAUUCCAUUGUCUAUCAAGAAGUAAUUGUAAAGGAGCUAUGUCUAAAAAUGUAUCUUUUCAGUGAUUUUUGUUCUGAACAAUCUUCUGCCUCAAAUACAUUUUGGAUCUAUGA